rnacentral:rRNA from 1 species
GAUGAACGCUAGCGGCAGGCUUAAUACAUGCAAGUCGUGGGGCAGCAUGAGUAGCAAUACUUGAUGGCGACCGGCAAACGGGUGAGGAACACGUACACAACCUUCCUUCAAGCGGGGAAUAGCCCAGAGAAAUUUGGAUUAAUACCCCAUAAUAUAUUUGAUAAGGCAUCUUAUUAAUAUUAAAGCUUCGGCACUUGAUGAUGGGUGUGCGGCUGAUUAGAUAGUUGGCGGGGUAACGGCCCACCAAGUCUACGAUCAGUAGCUGAUGUGAGAGCAUGAUCAGCCACACGGGCACUGAGACACGGGCCCGACUCCUACGGGAGGCAGCAGUAAGGAAUAUUGGACAAUGGACGAAAGUCUGAUCCAGCCAUGCCGCGUGAAGGAUUAAGGUCCUCUGGAUUGUAAACUUCUUUUAUAUGGGACGAAAAAAGGGCAUUCUUGUUCACUUGACGGUACCAUAUGAAUAAGCACCGGCUAACUCCGUGCCAG